UAGUCCACGCCGUAAACGAUGUCUACUAGCCGUUGGGGAACUUGAGUCUCCAGUGGCGCAGCUAACGCACUAAGUAGACCGCCUGGGGAGUACGGCCGCAAGGUUAAAACUCAAAUGAAUUGACGGGGGCCCGCACAAGCGGUGGAGCAUGUGGUUUAAUUCGAUGCAACGCGAAGAACCUUACCAGGUCUUGACAUCCUGCGAAUUUUCUAGAGAUAGGAAAGUGCCUUCGGGAACGCAGUGACAGGUGCUGCAUGGCUGUCGUCAGCUCGUGUCGUGAGAUGUUGGGUUAAGUCCCGUAACGAGCGCAACCCUUGUCCUUAGUUGCCAGCGCGUCAUGGCGGGAACUCUAAGGNGACUGCCGGUGACAAACCGGGNGGAAGGUGGGGACGACGUCAAGUCAUCAUGGCCCUUACGACCUGGGGCUACACACGUGCUACAAUGGAACGCACAGAGGGGCAGCAAACCCGCGAGGGGGA
rnacentral:rRNA from 1 species